rnacentral:rRNA from 1 species
UGGGGAAUAUUGGACAAUGGGCGAAAGCCUGAUCCAGCCAUGCCGCGUGUGUGAAGAAGGUCUUCGGAUUGUAAAGCACUUUAAGUUGGGAGGAAGGGCAUUAACCUAAUACGUUAGUGUUUUGACGUUACCGACAGAAUAAGCACCGGCUAACUCUGUGCCAGCAGCCGCGGUAAUACAGAGGGUGCAAGCGUUAAUCGGAAUUACUGGGCGUAAAGCGCGCGUAGGUGGUCUGUUAAGUUGGAUGUGAAAUCCCCGGGCUCAACCUGGGAACUGCAUUCAAAACUGACUGACUAGAGUAUGGUAGAGGGUGGUGGAAUUUCCUGUGUAGCGGUGAAAUGCGUAGAUAUAGGAAG